CUGGGAAGAGAGGUAAUCGCUGCCCUUCUAUGAAGGGGAGAGGAAAGUCCGGACUUCACAGGAGAGGAUACCAGUUAAUGGCUGGGGGCCGUAAGGCUACGGAAAGUGUAACAGAAAAUAUUCCGCUGCCCAGUUUUCUUGGCAGACAGGGUGAAAUGCUUGCUUUAUGAGCAAGCCUGGCCCGGGGAGACCCGGGCCAGUGACAAACCCUAUCCGAAGCAAGACCGAAAAGGGCAUUUUCUGACUCCGCAGAGCCCUUAAAGAGUCGCUUGAGGAUGUUGGCAACAGCAUCCCUAGACGAAUGAUUACCCUGUUGACUUAGGUCAGUAGACAAGAUCCGGCUUAAUAUCUUCCCAGAUUU
rnacentral:RNase_P_RNA from 1 species